rnacentral:lncRNA from 1 species
UCAGGACUUACUAACUUUAGCGAAUAGCUCUGGGAAAGCACGGCUGUGGCCAUGGCUGUGAGGAUAUAUGCAGAUAUCAUUAGAGGUGAACCUGGAGAUGGCCCAAGUCACCAAGUGCCCCUCACAGUGCUCACCAGUUGGUGGCUGACAACCCUGUAUCUGCAACUCUGAGCUUUCUUGAAACCCUAAGAACAAAAGAUAUUUGAAAGCUGGCUAUUUCUAAAUGUGUUGGAUUAGUCCCAUUAGAACUGAACACACAGCAUAAUUAAUUGUUCUUGCUAUGCUUGUUAAAAUUAUACAAGUAGUUCAAGGACAUGAAAUUACAUGUGUGUCUGUGUGUGUGUGUCUGUGUGUGUGUGUGUGUGUGUGUGUGUAAGACGAUGACAAAGUGCCCUCGCUACCUCCUCUUCAACCAGCAUUCCUGUCAUCCUUUGCUGAGAGGUUAGAGCAUAAAUUUGUGAUCUGUUUUCCAUACAUCUCCAUAUGUACAUAUUUAUAUAUUUAGAACCAGGGCUAUGCAAUGUAUGUGUGAUUCCGUGACUUGGUUUUCUUAGUAUGUCCCUGAGCUCUUUCCACAUCAGUUUAUAGAAAGUGUAUCCUGUUUCUAGUAGCUGUGUAUUAUUUCACUGUAUGGAUUAUGAAGCCUUUUUAAAAUAGUCAUUUCAUUAUUAUUAACAACACUGUAGUUAGAGGAGAAUAUCUCUGUGUGUGUGUCAUGAUAUGUUAUUGUAUAUUAGUAUUUGUUAGGGACUAAUUCAUAAAAUAGACGGGUUUUUUAUUUUGUAUACAUCUCGCCACAUUGCUGUUCACAGAGGUCUCAAUCUCCUGCCCCAUGGGCAAGUUAAGAUUGCCCGGUUCACAGGCAGAUCAUAAACAGAGGUCACUGUUGCAGUUUUUAUUUUUCUAAUUGCUAAUGGGCUUGAAUGAAUGUCUUUUUAUUGUUUGUUUGUUUUUUGAGACAGGGUCUCACUCUUGCAACCUCAGAGUCUGGGAACUCCCUAUGUGGAUCAGGCUAGCCUUGAACCUGUGGUAACCUUUGGUCUCCCCAAUAAGGUGCUGGAAUUGUAGGUGUGGGCAGAACAUUCGCUGUCUUUUCAUUUUUACUGGUCAUCUGUACAUUUUCUUUUUGUAAAAUAUACAGAAGGCAUAUGAAGUAUCUAAGGCAUAGACACAGAAAAGUGCAUACAGGUUAAAAUAGUACUCAUGCGAUGACCAGGUCAAGAAAUACAACAUUCUCAACCAGCCAGAAGUACCCGUGCACUUCUCCCCAGUCUUUACCCCAUCCCCUUACCAUGUCUUCAUUUCUGCUUGGUUUUCCUGCUCACAUAUACAUCCUUAAAUACUGUGGUCCUCUUCCCCCUUUUUGAGACAAGAUCUACCGUGGUCCAGGCUGGCCUCUUGGAUCUACUUUCAUCCAGGCUGGCCUCUUGACUUGUUUCUUGUGCAUCAAUGAUGCACAUAUGUCUAUGUGUAUGCGAAUAUGUACACAUGUCACAACACAUGUGUGGUUGAGAGGAUAACUAUUGAGAAUAAGUUUUCUCCACUUUCCAUGUGGGGUCCGGGAUUUGAACUCAGGUCUUCAGGUUUGGGCAGCAAGAGCUUUUACCGGAGCCAUUUUGCCAGCCCUGACCUAUUCUUAUUUAUUUUUUUGAAAUUUGUAUGAAUGAAAUUGAGACUUCUUGUGCUAAAUACAUAUGAGAGUUUGUCCAUUCUAUUAUAGGAUGCAUUAUUCUUUACUUUCGAUCUUAGUCUUGACUGACAUUUGUUUUCCCAGUUUGUGAUUAUUAUAGACAACGCUGCUAUAGAUAAUGUAGACAUCUAUUCUUCACUGUGCCUCUUUUUUAAAAAUGUGUGUGUGUGUGUGUGUGAUGCACCAUAUGCAUGUCAGUGGCUCCAGAGCUCAAAAAAGUGCCAGACCCCCUGGAGCUAGAGUCACAGGUGAUUGUGAAAUGUCGAACGAGGGUGCUGGGAAUCAAACCCAGGUUCUCUGUAAGAGCAGAAAGUCCUUUCAACUGCUGAACCAUCUCUUCAGCCCAUGAUAUUCUUCAUGUUUUGGAUACUACUAUGUGUUUGUCUUACACAUUUUCCUACUUUGUGCCAUGUCUUUUUAUGAUGGUUUUGAUAUACUAACAUUUUAAUUUUAAUAUGUCCAAAUGUAUUGGUAUUUUUGUUAGCUUGUUGAGCAUCUCAUUAAAAAAAUUAUUCUUUAUUGUUCUGGGACUGUUGCUGAGAGACAGCAUGCUUGCCUAGCGGCUACAAGACCCUGGGUUCACUCCCCAGAACCACCAGAGGGUAAACACCAGACCUCUAGGUAAAAAUGAUAAAGUUAUUUUCUUGUUAUACAGUUUAGAGUGUUGCCUUUCACAUUCAGGUUCCAUGCAGUUUGGACCUCUCCUCGUGUCUCUGGCAAUGUGGGGCAGACCUUUGUUUCUCUGAUUGGCAGCCAGGCUUGCCAGCACUGUUUAUUGAACGCCUGUCCUUUCCCAGCGGCUCUGGAGCAUCAUCGUUGUUGUUCACUAAGAAUCAGCCUGGGCUUCACUGUCUCUGGGCUCCUUGCUGUAGGGCUCUCCUGUCUUAGAUGCAGGUUCUCGCCCUACUCUGUUCAUUUCUGUAUCCAGUACAAUGCACGCUCCUGAUACACAGUGUGGUACUCGUCUCUCCUGUUGUUUGAGAGCUAUGAUUCUUCCUGGUUCUUCGCUCUUCUAUGUAUAUUUUAUCAGCUUAUCAAAACCGUUUUAAAAGCACUGAUAAUUUAAACAGUAAUGAAUCUAUAAGCUGCUUUGGAAGAAUCUGUGUCAUGAUGGGGGCUUCUGAUCCAGGAACAUACUAUAUCUCUACUUAAAUAUUUUUCAUGUCUUAAUAAAAGUUUGUGCUCACCAAAGGAGUCGUGUACAUCUCUUGUUAUAUGUGCUUUUAGGAAACUCAUGCAUUUGAAUACUAUAGAUAAUCUCUCUGUGUGUGCAUGUGCAUUUGUGUGUGUGCACAUGCAUGUGCAUGCAGUGUUAGGGGUUCACUACAAUAUCUGUGCAUGGUAGGCAAGCCCUUCUGCAUUCAGUCACAUUCCUAGCCCUUAGUGUUUGAGACAGGGUCUCACUGGUUAACCUGGGCUGGCCAGAGCUCUCACUCUUCUUGACUUAAUUUCUGGGAAUUGUUAAGUGGAUGCCACCUUGCCCAGAACUGUGCCAUCAUGCUCAAGAUACAACUCGCAUUAGUGUACCAAUCCUGGUCUCAUCUUUCAGCCUUGCAGUCAAUGGUUUUGUUUCCCACAUCUGCCUUUCCUCCUUUUCUUUCCUUCCCUCUCCUCUCUCCCUCCCUUCCUCUCUUUCCUUUAUUUUCUUCUCCUUCUUUCCUCCCUCCUCCUCCUUUUAGUGCUGAGUAUUGAACCCAGGGACUUGACAAACUAAGGGAACAUUCUGCCCCUGAGCUGCAGACACACUACCCUCUCUUCCUUUAUGAACUUUUUGUAAAAUAUAUAUUUUAUGGUAUAUCAUUUAAACUUUGAGUUUUCAAGUUAUCUCCUUAAUGAUUAGAGCUUAUAAUAAAUACAUUAAUUUAUAACAAUCUUCUAUUUCCAGUGAGAUAUAUUUCAGUAAAAUAAAAGUCAUUCUUCUAAGACAGUUGUCCCCACCCCCAUUCCCGUGCUCUGUGCUUAUCUGUAGUCAUGACUCCACCCUUCACAUCACUGUGCCUUGAAGUUAUAUUUUACAUCUACUGAAGAAAACAUGCACUGAGUCUUUAGUCUUCCCCUCAGGUUUUCCCGUCGUCCUCUCUCGUGACUAUGAGCCCCUCUAUGCCAUUUUUCAGACAGCAUUUCCUUUAGCAAUUGAAAAGCAGGAUGGCUACCAAUGUAUAUUUCCAGUCAUUAUUCUGCCAUGCAAUUUCCUCUUGGGUUUUGGAAGAUGACUUUGCUAGAUAUAAAACUCUUGGUAGACAGGCUUUUUCUGAAAACAUUUGGAAUGUAGUCCUGUUUCUGAUACUGUUUUAAAUACUAAGCCAAUUGUUAAUUGUAUCCUGAUUUUUCUCUGUGUUUUAAGUAUGACUCUUAUAUGAUAUCUUUUUUAAAUAUGACUCUCUUUUAAAUA